CCUGGAGAAGGGAUGGGGAUUAACACAGACAGGGCCAGACACAGAGUGUCAGAGACAAGUCAAGGGAGUCCAAUUAAGUCUCAUUUAUUAAUAAAGUGGUCACUGGUUUUAUAUGGCAGGGGUGGGCUGGUGGGACACGAAGAGGCUAUGGGGUAAUCUCUGAUGGGUCAUCAUCAUGUCUGUGUAUGUGACGUAAGUAGGAGAGGACUAUGGUUAAUAUAGGCAGGUGCAUUAUGUGCCCAUAGGAGGGAGAGGCGGGGAGACAGCAGUGGGGCAGUUGCACCACUCCCUACAACAAAUAAAUAACCUAAUGCUACAUCUCAAGUUUCUAGAAAAGGAGGAGCAAGUCAAACCCAAAGCUCAUACAAGAGAGACAAUUGUAAAGAUUAGAGCAGAAAUUAAUGCAAUUGAAACUAAAAAAAAUGCAGAAAAUUAACGAAUCAAUGAGUUGGUUUUUUUUUUUUUUGAGAGAGAGAAUAAACAAAACUGAUAACCUUCUUAUUAAGAAAAAGAAAAAAUUCAAAUCCACACAAUAAGGACUGAAAAGAUGGAAAUUAGUACAGAUGCCAUGGAAAUUCAAAAGAUCAUGAACACAUACUUUGAAAAUCUCUACUCACAUAGAGUCAAAAACACAGAGGAAAUGGACAGAUUUCUAGAAACAUGAAUUAUUGAGGCUCAAUCAAGAAGAUAUAACAAUUCUGAGUAAAUCAGUAUCAGCUACUGAAAUUGAAAAUGAUUUAUCAACUUACCAACAAAGGAAUAUCUAGGUCCUGAUAUAUUCACGGCUGAAUUUCAUAAGGAAUUUAGAGAAUACCUGACUCCAAUAUUUCUUAAACUCUUCAAUGAAAUUGAAAGAGAAACAGUCCUCCCUAACUCAUUCUUGGAGUCAAGUAUCACUAUGAUACCAUUAGAGAAAGACACAACCAAAGCGGAAAAAUACAGACCAAUCUCACUAAUGAACACUGAUUCAAAGAUUCUCUAUAAAAUAUUGGCAAAUAGAAUGCAGCAAAUCAUUGAGAGGAUUAUGUAGCAUGACCAACUGGGAUUGAUUCCAAGAUGGCAGGCAUGGUUCAAAAUAUGCUAAUCAAUAAAUGUAAUACUCCACAUCAACAGAGCCAAAAAUAAAAAUCACGUGAACUUCUCAAUAGAUGCAGAAAAAUCUUUUGAUAAAAUCCAACACUUGUUCAUGAUGAAAACCCUACAGAAAGUCAGAAUAGAUGGUAUCUACCUCAGUCUCAUAAAGACCAUUUAUGACAAACCUACAGCCAAUGUUAUGCUAAGUGGACAAAAACUGAAAGCCUUCACACUAAAAUCAGGAACAAAAAAAAUGAUGUGCACUAUCACCACUCCUAUUCAAUAUAGUUCUGGAACUAUUAGCAGAGCAAUCAGACAAGAUGGAGAAAUAAAGGGAAUAAAAAUAGGAAAAGAAGAAGUUAAGUUAUUAUUUGCAGAUGACAUGAUACUUUGCAUAGAAGACCCCCAAAAAUCUAUUAAAAGCCUAUUAAGAUGAUAAACAGCAGCAUACCUGGAUAGAAAGUCAAUACUCAAAAAUCAAUAGUAUUCCUGUACACAAAAUCUCCAAGAGAGAGAAAUUAUGAAAUAUCGCCUUUCACAAUAGCAUCAAAAAAAUGAAAUACUUAGGAAUCAACCUAUCCAAGAAUGUAAAAGACCUAUAUGAUGAAAAUUAUACUACUCUAAAAAAGGAGAUUGAAGAGGAUAUUAGAAAAUGAAAGGAUAUUCCUUGAUCAUAGUUAGGAACAACCAACAUUGUGAAAAUGGUGAAACUCUCCAAACUGUUAUAUAUAUUCAAUGCAAUCCCAAUCAAAAUAUCAUUAACACACCUUACAGAUCUAGAGGAAAUAUUCCCCCAAAUUCAUCUGGAAACAGAAGAAACCUAGAAUAGCAAAGGCAAUACUGGACAACAAAGACAAAGAAGGAGGCAUCUCAAUUCCUGACUUGAAACUAUACUGCAAAGCCAUGGUGAUAAAAUCAGCAUGCUGUUGGCAAGGAAAUAGACCAUAGGAUCAGUGGAACAGAUAGAAGAUAUAAACACUGCCACAGAGACACUCAGCCACCUUAUAUUUGACAAAGGAGCUAAACAUGUUCACUGCAAGAAAGAUAGCCUUUUUAAUAAAUGGUGUGGGAAAAAUUGGCUUUCCACAUGCUGAAGACUAAAACUAGACCCAUGCCUAUCACUAUACAUUUAACUAAAGUCAAAAUGGAUCAAGGAUCUAAAAGUUAAAAAAGAAACACUAAAUCUACUGGAGGACAAGUUAGGUAGAAAUCUUGGAGACAUAGGGCUAGGCAGAGAAUUCAUGAAUAAAACACAAGCUGUAUGGGAAAUACUUCAAAAAAUCAACAACCAGGAUCUCAUAUUAUUAAAAUGUUUUUGAACUUCAAAGGAAAUCACCAACAAAGUGAACAGAAAUCCCACAGAAUGGGAAAUAAUUUUAACUAACUAUCCUUCAGACAAGGGAUUCAUAUCCAGAACAUAUAAAGAAUUGAAAAACAUCAAAUCCCCCAGAUUCCAAGACCCUCUCCAAAAAUGGGCAUCAGAGAUGAAUAUACAGUUUUCAGAUGAAGGUAUACAAAUGGCAAAUAAAUAUAUAAAGAAAUAUUCACCAUCAUUGGUUGUUCAAGAAUUCCAAAUUAAGACAGCAUUGAGAUUUCAUCUCACUCUGGAAAGAAUGGCCGCCAUCGAGAAAUCAACUGAUAACAAAUCUUGGUGAAGUGCACCACUGCACUUCUCCACUGUUGGUGUAAGUGCCGACUGUUGCAGCCACUGUGGAAAUCAGUAUGGAGAUUCCUCAAAAACCUAGGAUUUGAAGUUCCAUUCAAUCCUGCUUUUCUUCUAGGAAUUUUCAAAGAAAAAUUGAAAAUGUCAUGUCACAGUGAUAUAUGUGCACUCAUGUUCAUUGCACAAUUUGUGAUAGGUAAAUCUUGUAAACAACCAAAAUGCUCAUUAACUGCAGAGUGGAUGAAAAGAAUGUAUUUUUACACAAUUGAUAACUACUCAGCUAUAGAAAAGGAUGAUCUUGAGGCCUUUAUUGGUAAAUGUAGGCAAGUUGACAAUGUGCUCAUUAGUGAAAUUAAAAGACUCACAUUAGUAAAUAUCACAUUAUCUCUAUGGUGUUAAAAGUAAUAAAAAAAACUGACCAAGUAAUGAGAUCCAAAAAGUAUAAAAUAUUGCAAAGGAGAAAGGGAAAAUAGUGUUCUAAAGGAAAUAAUGAUAUGUAUAAUGUGUAAGAUAGAUGCCCAUAUUACUACAUUUCUGUGAGAUAUUGAAAAGAAGGGUUUGUACUGCCUAUGUUUAAGUAGUUAGCCACUUUUUACACUUUGUUUUUGUAACUUUAACAACUAUUUUUAAGGUGACAAUAUAUAAUGUAUCAUCCAAUGGUUUUAUGAUGUUAAAUUUUAAAAAUUUCUCUAUUCUACUUUUUUUUUCUAUUUUGUUUCCUUUCAUUUUCUUUAAAUAAAAAAUUUUUUAAAAAAGAAAUGAAUCUGGUAUUCUCUACCCUCCAGGCCUUGCAGCAGGAUCUGCUCAUGCAGUGAUGGGAAUCCUUGGGAUCCACCUGACUCUGCAUGGCCAUAAGCUGCACUGUGGUGGGAUUAGUGGUAUUAUGCUUUACAUUUAUUGUUGUCGUGGUCUUUGUGUGCAUGAGUCCACCCUAGGGGUCACUUACAAUAAACACAUUUUCCCUCAUCUUUCAAUUGGUGGAAUAUGGGAAACCACUUCACAGUGCUUCAGCCCCAAAGACUUUGAGGACAUGUAUGGACCUCACCUAACUAAUUAGCAUAUGAACAGCAUGAACACAAUUCUAUAAGCAUGACUUAUCAUAGACAGCCAUGGAUAUGCUGAAGCUUGUAACAGUACACAAGAAUGCAUUCCCUGAUACGGAUGGAGAUAUAUAUAUAGAGAGACACUUGCUUACUGCUAUUGCUAAUGUUGGCUCAGGUGGUUUAUUUUCUCUGGGCAUCUUACCCACUAAAAUACCCAUUCACCUCCCUAACUCUGAGAAAAUCCCAUACCACAGACACAGGGAACUUUAAUACCCCACAAUACUAAAGUUGUGUGUGAUUAACAGCCCCUGUGCCCUGUUCCAAGGCAUUCAUCACAUCCUGAGGCGCAAAUCUCUGUGGGGUACAACUUUAGAAAGAGAUCGAGUUUCAUGCCUGUGCCUUGGAGAUCAUUUCUUGAUCUAUGUGAUAGACAUUUGCCCCACUUCCAUACCUACUCUGUACCCCACAAGGCAUUAAAGUUCUCAAAUGUUCUGACCUGGACCUGGAACGUAGCUCCCCACAGAGCAGACAUGCAGUUCUCCAGCAGACUGGUUGGAGCAUGGUCUCAGGUGAGUCAGUCCCAGGCUGGAGGCCAAGGACAAUAGUGUCUGUUGGCCCCACUCUCACACAAUGGAGCUUCUUACCAGAAUAUCUUAGCCUCCCUUGAUCCCUGAACCCGUGGGGACUCACUUUUUCUAUGUGUUAUAGUGUGUUAAAACCAGGCACAGCAUUAAGGCAUGGUAGUGACAACACAUGUCUAGCACAACCCCUCCUGAAGGUGGCUCCCCAUGGACUCUGCAAGCCAUCUAUUCUCAACAUAUUGUACCAUCUUGGAGCUGAUCACACUGAGGAAGUGCACAGAACAAGGGCAGGAGCAGGUGCUGGAUCCCACAGAGGUAGGCAGCCCUUCUCUGUGUGUGGACCUCAGUGCCUGUCAGGGCAUCGGGAUGGCCCUCUUGAAUGAAUUAGGGAGAUCCCUGCCUGGUGGUAUUGAGUCAGGGUGGCAGUGGACACUGGCUGUGUCUGGCAGCCAAAUGGGGCAACGCAGAGUGUAUACCACUGCCACCUGCUCAAGACAUCCUUCCACACUAAUUCUUUUGUGGUUCCCCUGCCAGACUUUUUCUACCCUCCUUUUCCACUCCAAUCUUCCUUGGAACUUUGAAUGGAAUCAAAGGAGGAGGCACUGCAUGUGUAGCUGCCCAAAGUCUAGAUGUCACUGUUCUCUGCUGUCACCCAAAAGGAGUGAACAGCACCCAGACAGGAGAUGGCCCAAGGCUUACAUGUGUAUAACGUGCCACUGUCUCAGGGACUGACUCUCAGGAAAGUAUUAGUGAUACUUUGACAUGAAUGGCACUGAAACAGCUGGUUGCUCUGGGUAUCCUGAACAUUGUAACAACAUGAAUUCUUCCCAUCCACCAUCACAGUGUGUCUUUUCUUCUGUUAGUGCCAUUUCACUCAUUGCAUCAGUUUCUACAGUUUUUAAAGAAAAGCCAAGGUCUAGAGACCAAAAAUGAGAGACACAGAUGGCCUAAAUGGAUACUCAAUAUUUUGGCCCCAGCAAUUCAAGCUUGGAGGAGACCCAGGAUGUAAAAGAAAUUCUGCUUGCAUCAUCAGAAGAUACUCAGUGAGUACCUCGUAUUCUGAUCAGGAAGAUGAUGAGACCAAAGAAGAAAGUGAACUUUGAUGCAAGGUAUGCCUAAGGAGAGUCACGAGUCACCAGAAAAAUCUCCAAAGCUUUCACAGAAAUCGACAUGGUCAAGCAAUGUCCAUGACUCCUCCAGGUGGCUGACACUGACAGAAGAGAUAUGAGGAGCUAUGCAUGGCUAUAAGAUUGUUCUUCAAGAGACCUAACUGGCCUUGAUAGGAUGUAAAGAACCAAUUGUCCUUAGCGCAGUCCUUAUGUUAGCUUGGUCUUGAACCUUUUGCAGAAAAGUCUGGCCUCUGGAGGUACAGUGCAAUGUAAAACAUUGUCUGUGUGUGAAUCUCAGUUCAUUAACAUCCUCUGACAAUUGCUGGCUAUGCUGGUAACUGACUACCAUUAUGAAUGGAUGGACUAUGCAGUGGUAGAAGCUCUAAAAUAGCUUCUCCAUCUUCAGCUGGUCACCCAUCUGUGUAUCAACCAAACAAAAAAGAGGUAUAUGUUGGAGCCACUGAAACUGAAUACUCAUGCAGGGCUGUGAUGUGGCACAGGCAUGAUUGAACUGAGAAUGAAGAGAUGCCUCAGGGGACAAGAUAGGCCACAGCUGAGGCCACCUAGACACUUUCUGUGGGAUAGUUCUCUGCAGUUAGCAUCAUCUGUUGCUCUGAGAGUGUCUUGAACCUCUCCCAAGAUUCUUAUCAGGUUUCCUCCAUUGUCCACUCAACUCCUGCCAGCAUGAGUUGGACAGCUGGCUAGCAGAGUGAUGAGCUCUGUCAAGGAUCUCUCUCCUCCUGCAGCUCUGAAGACCAUGCUGUGUUUCUCAUUUCUUAGGGCCUUUUUGGUACACCAUUUUGGCGUCUUGGUGUCUAGGAAAAGACCCCAGCAUGAAACAUAAAAUGUAUCUAUUUUAAAGACUCAGCACUGAAAUCUGGUAUUGUUGGGUGAUGACAGGACCAAGUAUCAAAUUGUUUAAGACAAUUCAGGUAUACAGAAGCUGUUCUUUCCACUGUAUUUUUUUGGCUCACCAAUGCCAAAUCCUCUUACAUGACACAACUUUCCUCAAGACAUUUCCACUCCAAUCAAUGACCUACAUAUGAAUUAUUUUCUGUAGGACAUACACAUAGAUAUGCAGGUUUUAUGAUAUGUCUCCACCAAGUCAUCCUGAUGAAAAUAUUAAUAAUCCAGAGCCAUCCUGGGCCUGAGGGGAGAAAUAGAAAGCUAAUUUUUCCUUCCUGUGAGCUAGUGGAAGUCAUAUGGGGAAUGGUAGGGGAAACUAGCCAAUGUGCCCAUGUUGUGAUUCUGUGGAAGCUAUUCUAGUUCUCCAAAGAAAAGCAAGAAAGUAACUUACACUUCCUAUGAUCUAACCCCUGCAUUGGCUUGGAGAGGAGCACCACAAUCACCUCCUCUCACCACCAACCAUCUUAUUGGUUUAGAGGACAUGCUGAAUUGAUAGCAAUUGAGGUAUAACAACAACUUAAUCCUUGUAUUACUUGAUUGACUUUGCAGCCUAAAGCUAGUAUUCUUAAGCAUGUGUUUAAAUUGGGAAAUAAUGGUAAAAGAAGUUGCAAAACUUCAUGAGUAUAUGGAACUUAAAUAACAGUCUCCUAAACAACCAAUGGGUAACAGAUGAAAUAAAGGAUGAAACUUAAAAAUACCUACAACCUAACAAGAAUAUAGAUGCAAAAUUCUGUACCUUAUGGGAUUCAAUAAAAGCAGUCCAAAUAGGGAAAUUUAUAGUAGUCAAAUCUCACAUUAGGAAAUAGAAAGAACAUAAACAAAUAAUGAAAUGUUGCAUCUCAGUCUUCCAGAAGAAGAAUGGCAAGACAAACACAAAUCCCAUACAAGGGAGGAAAUUAUAAGACCAGACAAGAAAUUUAUGCAAUGCAGAACAAGAAACCAAUUCAAAGAAUUAAUGAAUCAAAGAGGUGAUUCACUGAAAUAAUAAACAAAAUUGAUAAACCCUUGGACAACCAUAUCAAAAAAGAGAAAAAUAAAGACUGAAAACCAUGCAUUGAGGAAUCAGAAGAAUAAAAUAACUACAGAUCCUGUGAAAAUUCAGAAGAUCAUCAGUACCUACUUCAAAAGCUUAUACUUUCAUAGGUUAGAAAAUAUAGAAAUGCACUGAUUCCUAGAUACAUAUGAAAUGCCAAGUCUGAUUUAAGAAGAUAUAAAUAGAGAAAACACAGUAUCAGUUAAUGACAAUGAAGAUCUAGUUAAAAAUUUAUCAGCUUCUGGGCAUGGUGAUGCAUUCCUGUAAUCCCAGAACUUGGGAGGCUGAGGUACAAGGCUUGUUGUGAGUUCAAGACUAAACAACGCUACAAAAUGAGCUCAUGGCCAACCUAAACUGAAUAAUGAGUGCCUGUCUCACGAGCACUUUUUAAAAAAAAAGAAAAACAAUGACAACAGAAAAGCAAAUGACCAACAUAAAAAGUUUAGGUCCUGAGGGAUUUACUGCUGAAUUCGACAAGAAAUGUAGAAAAAAAUUUAAGGCCACUGCUGUUUAAUGAUAUGGAAAGAGAAGCUGUUCUCCCUAACUCAUUCCUGGGAGGCAAGUAUUACCCUGAUACUAACACCAGAGAAAGACCCAACCAGAAAAAUAAAACUGUAGGACAGUUUUCCUAAUGAACAUAGAUGCAAAAAUCCUUAACACGAUACUAGCAAAAUGAAUGUAGCAAAUCAUCAAGAAGAUUUGAAAACCUGACCAACUUGGAUUCAUUCCAAGAAGGCAGGGAUGUUUCAGUACAUGAAAAUUAACAAAUUUAAAUGUCAUAGCAACACAGUCAAAAACUAAAGUCACAUGGUGAUCAUCUCAAUAAAUGCACAAUAAGCUUUUGCUAAAGUCAAGCACUGAUUUGUGAUAAAAACCCUACAGUAAAUAACAACAAAUGACCUUUACCUAAAGCUGAUAAAAUCAAACAAUGACAGGGGCUGGGAAUUUAGCUCAGUGGCAUAAGCACCUGCCUUGCAGUUGUGUGGUCAUGAGUAUGAUCAACAGUACCGAUAAAAAAGAAAAAGACAAAAAAAAAAUAUCAGACAAUGACAAAGAAAAUGCAGCAUCAUAGUAAAUGGAGAAUAACUGAAAACUUUCAUUCUACAGUUAUGAAAUGGACACAGAUGACUACUAUGACCACUUCUGUUUAAUAUAGCUCUGGAAACAGAACAAUUAGAUAAAAGAGAGAAAUCAGAAUAAGUAUAUAAUAGAAAGUAGUUAAACUAUUAUUGUUCACAGAUGAUAUGAUAUAGUAAAUAGAAGAUGCCAAAAACUUGACCAAAACAGUCCUAGAGUUAAUAACCAAAUUCAAUAAUAUAGCUGGAGACAAAGUUGACAAUCAAAAAUCAGUAGCAUUCUUGUACACAACCAGCAAACUCACCAAGAGAGAAGUUACAGAAACCACACCAUUUAAAAUAGCCUCCAAGUAAAUGAAAUACUUGGAAAGAACCUAACAAAGAAAGCAAAGGACUUACAUAAUGAAAAUUAUAGUACUUUGGAAAAGGAUAUUGAAGAGACUAUCAGAAAAUAGAAAAAUAUCCCCUGCCCAUUCUGUGCAUUGUCUUUUCACUCUUUUAGUGCUUUCUUUUGAUGUACAAAUAUUUUUUAAUAAGAUAGGGUCCUGGUGGUUGAUUCUUUAAAAUUUUUAUUUUGUUCACGAAGCCUCAUUAGUGUUUCUGUUUUAAUAUUUAGAUCUUUGAUCUAGUUUGACUUAUAUUUAUUUCAUGGUGAUAGAAAUGUCUCCCGUUUAAGUCUUCAGUAUGAAGAAAGUCAUUUUCUUCAGGACCAUUUAUUGAAGAGGCUGUCCCUCUUCCACCGAACAUAUUUAGCUCCUUUGUCAAAGACAAGGUAGCAGAGUGUGUUUGUAGUUCUAUUUGCAUUUUCUAGUCCUUUUAUCAGGUCAUUUUUCUGCCAGAACUAUGCUGAUUUUCUGAUAGUAGCUUUCUAGUAUAAUAGCAAGUCAGGAAUUGUGAUGCUUCCUGACUUGCCUUUGUUGCCCAGCAAUGUCUUUUGCGAUCUAGAGCAUUUCUGUUUCCAAAUGAAUUUUAGAAAUGUUUUCUGUACAUUUGUGAGCUAUCUUAAUCGUAGUUUGGUAGGCAAUGCAUUACAUCUAUAUGACAGUUUGCAAUAUGAUUUUUUGAGUUUUCUCCAUAUCCUUGAAGGUAGUUUUACUGGUCUCUUAUACUCACCAGAUGAAACCUAACAGGUAUGAUUCUAAGAGUUUCAAACUGUUGAGUUCUUCUUCCCAAGGAUAUCCACAAUAAUAUGAUUUUUUUUCUGUUUGUUUGAGACAGGAUUUCCCUAUGCAGUUCAGGCUGACUGUGAACUCACUUCUUGGUCCAGUUAACUUAAACCGAUUGUCCUACUUCAGCCUCUUAAGUCCUGGGAUUACAGGUGUGAAACUAACGCUUGAAAAAAUUACUGGUGUUAUUUGAAACAUGAAGAAACAGUCAUGAGAUACACAUGUAUUCAUUAACUGCCAUUCCCUUAAAGGAAAAGUGUCCAAUUUAAUACAUAACAUAAUUGGAGUGCAGGGAAUCACAAGAUGUGUUUCUAUCUCUUAUGGGCUGGGGAUGCCAGGCUAGACUACUGCAGAAACAGGAGAUGUCACAGGUAGGAAUAUGAAUCAAAUGUGAGCAUUAGUAUUAAGAACUGAGAGAGUCUUGUAUUUAAGGAUGAUGAAGAAAAGACCAGUGAAAAGCAAUGAGAGACCUGGUGAGCUUAGCUUGUCCUGACUUUAGAUCAUGCUUUAUUAUAAGAAUGAAUAUCACAAAUUAUGAAAUAUUCAAACAUUAUGUGCUUUUUACCCUAGAAAAUAUUGAGGCUUGGCACUGAGGCUCAGCUGUUUUGCAGCUUGGCAUAACAUGCCAUUUUGUACCCUGCAUUUAUCUAGUGCCUUGUAUUUGACCCAGGAAAAUUAAAAAUCACUCAGGGUAUAAGUUCCAUGAGAAAAGCAAAAGGAGCUGUACCCAAAGAAAAAAAAGUAACCUGCUAAAAAAAGAAGCAGGAUACAGGUGUCAAAUAAAAAUUCAUUUAAGAUUCUAGCUAAAUUGUUUCCAAACAGGAUGUCUUUUGUGAUUCUCUCUUUUAAAAAUGCUUAACUUUCUAGUUCAGGGCCACUUGUUUGGAUUCUGAAAUGGGGAAGCGGGUCUGUAUACAAGUGGUGGAUUCUGAUCUCAGCUACUUAAAUUCCAACUUUAUACUUUGGAUGCUUGAAUUCCUCCUGCAUUGUUAACAAACUCUGCUCAAGAUGCAGAAAGAUUUACUGACACAAGCAAACAUCUGGUUUAAAUGUCAGUGCCCCUGAAAUGAAAGAAUAAUAGUGAAAAGGAAUGAAGAAAAUGACAAACACCAUGUUUUAUGAUGCCCACCUCUUUUCCACAGCAUUAAAGAGGCUGAAACAGGAGAAUGGCCAUGUAUUCAAGGCCAACCUAAGCUACAUGGUGACUGAAAGUCCAGCCAGAACUACAAAGUGAGAUUACAUCUUUAAAAACAAAAAAUAAAAAUGAAAAAUAUAAAAAAAAAAAACCAAGGGAGACAGAAAGACUGUUAAAGGAAAACAAAAACAAUAGAGCUGACUGAAAGCUGACAUAAAUUGGCAAUUAUGGAAUGAUGCUGCAGAGGAAAGCUGGCCAUGUAGUAGCAUCUGGGCAGCAGUGACAAAUAGAGUUAGAAAUGGUGCCUAUAGUGCUACAGCACAACAGUGAUAUCCUUCCUCCAAUAAAUCUGCAAUUUGCUAGAAUGAAGCGGUCCAAAAGCUCAUGGAAAUCUUAAACUCACAGCAAGCAAGUAGCUUCACACAAAGGCUUUGGAACAUGGCCUUUAGCAGAUAUUUCAUAUUCAAAUUGAAAUAGGACAAGUACAAUCCUGCCCUGUUUGUUGUCAAAUGCACCAAGUUGGUUGGCUCACAACACUGAGGAAUGAAGUCACAAACCAAAAGAAGUUCAGAAAGUUUUCUGGGAAAAAAGACAGAAGAAUAGCCCUGGAUUUUCAGGAAUGUUCUUCAGUGUUUAAGUCACAGACCUAUUGUCAGGGGUCAUUUAUACAGGAAAGUCACAAUGUGGGUACAGUGUGGGUCUCAAACUACAAUCAACCUCUAAGCUUAUAGCUGCUUCACUAAUAUUAUUCAUCAGGGGAACAAAGUCCACCAGAAAAGGUAUGUUGAAAGAGCCAAGGCAUUUGGUGGGAACAAUAGUCCAGUUGUUCUGGUCAUUGAGUAUGGUAAUUGAGGCCCAUCAGGAUUUCCUGGAGGAGGUGGUGGUAACUGUAGUAUGUUUCAAUCUGUUAUUUUUCUCUUCAGGAGGCAUGUAGACAUUGUCAUUACAUCUUCACCUUCUGGCUUUCUUCAGUUGUGCCUCUAGCAGGAAUUGUCGUGUUUAGGUUUUUGCACUGCCUCUUUUGAGGUUCCAUUUCCUCUCUGACAGUGUAUCAAUUCCUGUCUACUUUGACCUCCUCUAGUAAAAUAGCAGUACUAUUUGAAUGGAUAAAGUAAUGUUUAUACAUUUAAUAAAAUAUUAUUUAAUGGGGCCUGGGAUUUAGCUCAGCAGACAGAAGCACCUGCCUGGGAAGUGCUAGGUUGUGAGUUUGAUCCCGGUACCUAAAAAAAAGUCUUAAACUGCAAUGAAAGAAAAGAAUUUCAUUUGUCAAGAUAUAGAUUAACAAGAUUUUAAAUUAAAUUUGUCACUGGGAAAUUAAACAUUGGUAAUAGUCAUAUUUGGAAUCUAAAGAUGUUGGGCUGGGUAUUGAGCUCAGUGGUCAAAGCACCUGCCUGACAAGAACAAGGUCAGGAGUUCAAUCUCUGGUACCAAAGAAAAAUCUACAGUUGUCAACCACCAUGUAGUGCUAUGAGCACAACUAUUGAAAUUGAUAGUUGUUCAUUAAAAUUCUCAAUGUUUCUUUUGUCAUCUACGAAGUACCUACAAAUAACAUGGUAACUACAGUGAAUAAUACACUGUGCACUAUACCAUGGCUAUUUGCUGAGAGCUGCUUUUAUUUAUUCCCCACGUAGUUGAAAGCUGAAAAUGAUUAGUGAUGAUAGAGAAACUGUGAUAAUAAUUUUUCAAUUUUAUCGGAUAUUUCACUGCAUCCAUUAAGUGCAUUUUAUUUGCUACAAUUGUGCUUAGUAAAGUAAAUAAUUCUUAAUGUUACAGGCAGCUGUGUUAGAAAUAUAGGCAGUCAGGGGCUGGGGAUUUAGCUCAGUGGCCUUGCAAGUGCCUGCCUUGCAAGCAGGCAGACCUAAGUUUGAUCCCCGGUACUGAUAAAAAAGCAAAAAGACAAAGAAAAAAAAUGUAGAAAUAUAGGCAUUCAGAUAGUGAUAUAAUGGAAUGAAACUCCUGACCUACUAUGUCUGGUAGAAAUUUGUGUUCUAUAAAAUAGAAGAAUGAAUUUUAGGAACAGAGGAGGUAAAGAGCAGAGAAAAAAGUGAAAGGUUUUUGCUCUAGAUAGGAUAUUACAGCAGUGGGAAGCAGGCCAGGGAACAUUUACCCUGAAGUCACUUACCCCUCCCUCAGGCAACUUACCUGUGGCAUGAAAAGAGUCCCACUCAGCUACGGGCACAUCAGCAAUCCAUCUUUAAGCACCACCCCAAGGAAAAAGUAGAUAUAAUCCCCCUAACCAUCGAUCCAGCAGAAAAAGGCAGAUGACUAGCGGUCAAGGUGGUACUCUCUACCGUCUUAGAAUAAAGGCCAUUUUUACUUUAUGUUCUCUCCUUUACCACAAUGAAAACCCUAUCAGAAAGCUUCUGUCUGAGAAAACUGGAGGGGUCAUAAGUGGGUUGUCAAGGACUCUGUAUAUUCUAGGGACUUUGUAGAAUAAAAUCAUGGGGUGAGAUGGGUUUAAGGUGGGGAAAAUUGGGAACUCACAAGGCAGAUGGACAGAGCUAUGUUUAGCCAAUAUAAUUAAUUGUUCUGGUAAAAUCAUUUACACUGCAGACAAAUGCGGAAGUGAGGUCAUAGAAAGCAGGCAUUUUACAGAGCAGUAACUCUCCUCUAUGGGACUGGGAGGGUGACUCCUGACUUCAGCAGGGUGACAGGGAACUAUUUAGAAAAUCAAUUUUUAGGAUAUAGAUGAAUUUGCUUGGUAUUUUCUCUUGAGGCCUGUCCCGUAACAGGAGGUAUCUGUCUCCCAUAGCUGCAAGGUAUGUGGGCUUCUGAGCUGGCCACUUCUAGGACCUGAUCCGGUCUCCCUGGGUAUAUAUUUCUAACUAACUCAGCUGCCUAUAACACCAGGGUUUGCCCCUCAAGGAGCCAGAAAAUAAGUUCAGAUUGGUUAACAGGAUUGGAAGAGACAAUCACCUCCUGCUGUGGGCCAAAUCUCAAAACAAAAGGUAAAUUAAAUACAACCAAGUGCUAAGGAUCAACAGCCCAAAUAGUUCUCUGAUCACCCUGAGGAACACAAGAGUCCCCAUCCCAACCCUCUACAAGAAGAGUCUCUGCUCUUAAACCUGCCCACUUACUAUGACUUGCUCUCUCAUUUGCUCCCAAUUUAAUCAAUUUUACUUGAGCAAUUAACCUUAUUGGCUGACCACAUUUCUACUCUGCCUUAUGGUUAACUUUCAGAUUCCCAUUUUUCCCCUCCCCUGGACCCAUCUAACCUCAUGAUUUAACUCUAUACAAUUUCCUCAAACAGACAGUCUUUGACAACCCACUCAGACCCUUCCUGUCUCUCAGACAGAAGCUUUCUUUCUCCCACUAAAUAUAUUCCACUCUUAAACUCCAUCGUUCCUAAAAUUCAUUCUUCAAUUUUAGAGAACACAAACUCAUACUGGAUAUAUAGUAGGUAAGGAGUUUCAUUCCCCUAUACCAUUAACAUGGCCAAAUUAACAUGACUAUACUUUUAGAAUGUCUGAAAUUUGUUCCUUUUCCUGCAGUUUCAAGUGAUUAAUACAACUCACAGUGAUUAUAGUCCUGGCAAUAUCUAAAAUUGUUUACAACAGUCAUUUUAAGUUUAAAAUAAUUGCUGUGAUUGUAUUAUUUAUCAAGACAUAGACUUUGCCAUGGCACUAGAUUAUAUCUUACAAAAGAGAAGGUUCACCUAUAAUUGUUCAGAAAAAUUUCUAUGUUACUGCUUGCUUGAACAAUUUUUAAUUAGAAAAACUGUAUUUUUUCAGUUUCUAGAAGGCUUCUAUUAUAUUAUUGAAAGCUAUCUGUAGGCCUCUAGGACCUUGAUUAUAUUUUGAUGCAUAAUUCUGUUUUGAAACUUGUAUGAAGAUUUAUUUUUAUCUUAGGAGUAAACUCACUGCAUUGACACUGAUAGAGUGAAGCAAAAGCCCACUGCAUUAAUUUCCAUUGGACACUCGUGGCAUAGAGCAUGUGAAUUACUGAGGAGGUAAAUUAGCUUCGUACAUAAACAAGAAUCAGUACUGUUAUGAUUUUGUGGCCCAAUAGAGUAGCACAAUAAUAGGAUUAUUUCCAAAAGAUGAGAAGUAUAAAACAAAAAGAGGCCUUUAUUCUUAGAACAUGGAGAGAAAUGACUGGCAUCCCCCACUGCUGGAGUCCCGUAAUCUCUCUGGCGGACACGUGGGGUGGGUGUAUGUAAGUAGCCUCGGUUUGGGGUGGAACCUAAGGAGGGCAUUAGGGAUGCACAGGUAGCCCAUUGGUCCUAGGUUUUGUGCCAUAGGUAAAUUUCCAGGGGCGGGAAGAUGGCCUCACAGGUAAAUUCCUAGAGGUGGGGAGAUAGGGGCUUCCUGCUUCCUGUUGAGGCUUUCCUGGCUACAGAGUCCUAUCUAGGCCAAAACCCUUUCACAGAAUAUAAGAAAAAGUAGAAGUGUCCUUUCUAUUUAAAGAAUGUGGAGAGGAGCCUAAAGCCACCAAGGGUUUGCCUUUUUUUUUCUGACUGAUUAUGGGAUUACAGGGUAUAUAUGAAAUUUGGGGGUGCUGGCACUGACAUUGAUAUCAUGUAAGGAGCUGAUUGGAAUUUUCUUUUGGCCCCUGGGAAAGGAAUGAGGAAGUUGUAUUCAGGGAAAAACAAGGAAGUAGCCAUAUGGGUAAGCAUCCCUUAUUUGACCUUUCACACUGAUGAACUACCACCAUGAUGUCCUGUGACUUAUUCUAGGGCAAAACACUUUCGAGUACAUCCUUCACUUUGAAGAAAUGAAAAUAAAGUAUUUUUGCUACAUGUCUUCUUCCAUGGUUAGUGGUAAACAAUUCAAAAGGAAAGUUUCCAGUCAUUUCCUUACUGCAUUGUAGAUAGCAUAAACAAAACUACAGAUCAGUUCACUUUCAGAAAACAGAAGCAGCACUAAAAGGCAGGGAUAAAGCCUUUCAAUGCAAAUGUCCCUUAAGAGGUGAAAUCAACAUUUAGAGUUACAAUCAUCUACUGAUAUCUCUGACUUCAAGAAAGAAAAAUUUACACUGUUAUUGCUAUAGGGUAAUGAAACUCCAGGUCUACUAUGUCUGGUUUGAGUUUGUGUUUUCUGAAGUCAAAAAAUGAAUUUUAGAAAAAACAGAUGUCAAGAUAAUAUAAUUAUUGGGAGAAAGAAAGCUGUGUGAGAGAGAGCAAAUGCAUCCUGACUGGGUUGGCAAAGACUGUCUUUUCCAAGGACUUUUAUAGAGUAAAAUCAAAUCAUGUGGUGAGGUGGGUGGAAGGUUGGGAAAACUGGGAACUCACAAUGCAGAUGGGCAUAAGAUGGGACAGAGCUAUGGUAGCCAAUAAGAUUAAUAGUUCAGGUAAUGUUGAUUAAAUUGGGAACAAGGGGGGAAGGGAGUCACAUAGAAAGCAGGCAUUCCUAGGAGCAGUAAAUAUUCCCUUAGGGGUUUGGGAGGGUUACUCCUUAUUCAUCAGGAUGAUAGGAACUAUUUAGAAUGUCAGUCUUUAGGAUAAGGAUACAUUUCCUUGAAUGGUGACUCCUGACUUCUUCAGAGUGCUAGGGAACUAUUUAGAGUAUCAGUCCAUAGGAUAUGGAUGAAUUAGUUGAUCUUCUGUCUUGAGGCUUACCCAUAGCAGGAGUUGUCCAUCUUUUCCAUAGUUGCAAUGUAUCUGGGUUUCUGGAUGGGCUCCUCAGAGGACCUAGCCCUGUCUCAUUGCUAAUCAUAAUUAACUAACUCAGCUCCACAUAACAGUACUUUUAGGAAAAUUGAAUACAGAUGUAUUGUGCUCUGGGGAUGACAGUGCGCAAUGUAUAUACCAGUGUUGCUCCCUGAUUCACAUGUUUUGAAAUUUAGUUUUAGUUCAUUUUUUCUUUUUAUCCUUGAAAUGAAAUGGAUUUGGAAAUGAAAAUUGUGAGGUAAGGUAAUUUGGUACACAUAUUCCUCUGUGUAGCUGAGAUCAAUACUGUUGAAGACAACAAGCUACAGAAGUCUCUGACUACUGUCUAUCAUUUGGGAUCCUCUCUUGCAGGAAAGAGUUCCUUUCCCUUUUUAUUUUUGACUCAGAAGGAGGGCAGUAGAGCAGCAGUCAAUCAGUGAUGAAGAGGUGGGCUAUAUGAAAUGUCCAAUCAGGCGAGACAUGGCAGGAAGUCUCUUGGGUCUCUUCCCUUGUUUAGGAAUUAUUUACCUGUUUGAAGCACAAAACUUGGAGCAGAAUGCUUGCUGGAUCUCAUUUACUGGUUUCGAUGUCCUGUGGCCUGUUUGGCAAAGAACAUGGGAGAACCUGUAGCCACAGAAUGGUGAGGCUUUGGAUGGCAGCCCAGAAAUAGGGUGGAAUUGGGAGAAGCCAGUUACAAGUGGUUAGAAGCAGUUCUGGUGUCUGUAGACUCAGGUAUUUAGUUAGCUUCAGCUCCUGAGGUCUUCUAGCAUUGGCCUUGGGUCAUCCACUUUCCCUUUUUUCUCCUGCUGGGAGCAAGGAUGAUUCUGUGUCCCCAGAACUCUGAAUUAACUAUGAUAGCAACAGACUGGAGGAUCAUCUUUGAAAUUUUCUACUGCCCUGGCACCUCCACCAUAGGGAGCAGAGGAAGGAGCUUGGGAAGCCCCUGACUCUGAUGCAUUUUGUAGCUGGAGCAGCAGGUGAGCUUGGUCUCUGCUCUCAUUCCAGAGAUCAGCAAUAUUGAUGUUCUAAAGUUUAUAAAUGUAUGUAAUGCAGGGCCUCACAACGGAACUUCUUAAACUUGUACUUUUUUGUAUUUGUAAGGAUUGCCUAAAUUUAUGGUAUGUUCUCACAUUUCCAACUUAAUGAUAGGUGUUGGCAAGACCACGAGAAUUCAGAGAUGUGUAGUGAUGUGUCUCAGUGGAGGAAGGCUUUCCAAACACCUGGUGAACUCCUGUGUACUAUAAAUAACAGUGCAAAGAAUUUCUGAACAUACUUUAUGUGACACAUGUGAUCAUAGACUAUGCUUGUGAGAACAGCCAUAGAGGUUUGAAUUUUGAGAAAAAUGAAGCAGAUAUAAAAGUGUCAUCAAGGGCACGGUAAAGUGUGCCUGCUAAGGACAGAUUCCAGAAAGAGCUGCCUGUUAAAUUCUCACUGAGAAAUGCCUAAAUGUAGUCAUUUGCAUGAACAUAUAUACAUGUGAUAUCCUUCUGAAUGGAAAGGAAUAUGGGUGUCAUCUCUGAAUUAAGAGCUGAUUUAAUAGCUUUGUUGAUCAUAUACAUUGUUUAAAUAUGGAAAUGCUCUGUAAUGGACUUUACUAAUUCGUGUAAAGGAGAUGCCUUAAAUUGAAAUUGUGUAGGAAUAUCAAUAGUCUAGGCAUGAAGGGUUUUCUACUUAGGGUGGAUCAGACGAUUAUGGAAAGUAUGUGGAAGUGACCAGCAGGACACAGUGUGCAAAUAGCAGGACAUACAACAGAGGGGGUCUUCACUAAAAGUCAGGUAUUUCUUAGGGUAAGCAUGAAGUUAAAGUUGGCUUAUGAUAUCUUCCUUGAGGUGAAUAACAACAGCUCUGGUAACAAUCAGUAUUCCACAUCCCUGUCAACCCAUGAGUUCUCUGUUAUUCACUUGAGAUCUAGUUUUGAUUGUCUCAAAUUAUGACCCAGUAUCAUGAAGGUGAAAUUUGAAUUUUUUUUUGUACCAAGGAUCGAACUCAUGAUCUCAAGCUUUCCAGUUAGGUUUCAUGCUGCUGAGCUAAAUAACCAGCUCUGAAAGUGUUUUCUGUAUAUUAUGGAUGAUAUCAAGCUUGUUCCUCAAAAAAUGUUGAAUAUUGUGGAAUUUUUCUAUAUUGUAUGGCUAUAAUUUUUUGAAGCAAACCAAAGGUGUCUUAUGCAGUCACUUUUCAAGUUUUACAUUGUCUGUGGGGUGUCUCAGUCAGGGUUUCUCUGUUUCAGACAGCUCUGUAACUUAGGCCAGCCCCAAACUCAAGCAGUUCUCCUGCAUCAGCCUCCCGAGAUAUAUUUCUUAUAUCUGAAUGGAAAGUGAUCACUUGUUGACACUGAGUUAUAAUUUGAAACUUGUACCUGGUUUCAUUGUUUAUACAUUGUUUACAUACAGCAGUUUUCCAUGAACAUUUGAGUUAUUAUUUAUGUACCAUAUUUGAUGUUAUUUAUGUUUUGUUCUGUGAAACCAAAUUCAAAUAUCAAAAUGCAGCUUAAGUAUAUUAAGAACAAAGGACUCUGUGGCCUAACUGAUUAGAAGAGAUACCAUUUGUAGUACAUCAAAGUGAUUGAUGAGAUAUUUGUCUGCCUCUGUGCUUUAUGGAUGCUGGUCUUGCAGGCUCUCACUAUGAGCUCUGCAUUAAAGACAGUGCACAGCGACUCUUGCAGUCAUAAGAAUAAGUGCAUAAGCAUCAGUGCUCCUAUUUGGCUGUUACAUUAGUUGUGCAUUGCAAUAUAGCAUGAAAUUUACUGUCUCAAAAAUGUGUAUAUAAAAAAAUUAAUCCCCAAAAUACGGAAUUCAGAUUUGAAGAAAUCAGUCUCCAUUCAGCUGUUUCAUUUGGUUUAUUUGUUUAAUUUAGUUUUGUUUUCUCUACGUAUAUCAGCUAGAUUUGAACCCCUUAUGGAGUGCAGAAUUGCCCUAACCUCAAAGCAGCACUUCUGUGUCAGCCUCUUGAGUGCUGGGAUUAUAGAUAUGUGUGUUUUUACCCUAGAAAAUAUUGAGGCUUGUAACUUAGCUGUGUUGUAGCUUGGCAUAGUAGAUGUCAUCUUGAGCUUUGCAUUUAACUAGUGCCCUGUAUUUCACCCAGAAAAAUGGAAAAUCACUCAGGGUAGAAGUCCCAGGAGAAAAGCAACAUGAGCUGUACCCAAAGAAAAAAAUUAACCUGCUCAACAAAAGAAGCAGAAUACAGUUGUCAUCCAAAACUUAUUAUAAGAUUCUAGCUAAACGAUUUCCAACAGGAUCUUUUUUGUGAUUCUAUCUUUUAAAACAUCUCUAACUUUCCAGUUCAAAGCCUCAUGUUUAGAUCUUGAAAUGGAGGUGGGGGCUCUGUAUACAAGCAGUCCUGAGACCAGCUAAUAAAGUUCCACAUUUAUCAAUUGGGUUGCUUGGCUUCCUAUAUUGUUGUUCACAUACUCAACUCAAGCUGCCAAAACCGUUACUGACACAAGCAAACACCAGGGUUAAAUGACAGUGCCACUGAAAUGAAAGAAUAAAAGAGAAAAGGAGAGGAGAAAAUGGACAAAUGCCAUGUGUUAUAAUGCCCACCAAUUUUCCCCAGCAAUGAAUAGGCUGAAACAGGUGAAUGGCCAUGUAUUCAAAGACAGGCUAACCUACAUAGUGAGUGCAAGGCGGGGCGGAACUCCAAAGUGAGAUUAUGUCUUUAAAUCAAAAAACUAAAGUGAAAAAAAUAAACAACCAAGGAGACGGAAGGACUAUUUAAAAAAAAAAAAACAAUAAUAGGGCUGAGUGAAAGUUGACUUAUGCAAAAUGGGAAUUAUUGAAUGAUGAUGCAGAGGAAGGAAGGCCAUGGAGUGACAUCCAGGAGGCAGUGACAAACACAGACUUAGGAAUGGUACCUAUUGUGCUACAGCACAACAGUGACCUCCUUCCUCCAAUACAUUUGCAGUUCACUAGACUGAGGACUUCUCAAAGUUCAUGGAAAUGUUAAGCUCAUGGCAAACAAGCAGCUUGAAAUCCAGGCUUUAGAAUAUGGCCUUUAGCAGACAUUUCAUAUUUAAAUUGAAAUAAGAGAAAUAUAAUCCUGCCCUGUUUUAUGUCAAAUGCACCAAGUUUAAUUGCUCACAACAUUGAGAAAGGAAGUCACAAACCAAAAGAAGUUAAAAAAUUUUCUUAGAAAUAAAGAGAGAAGAAUAGCCCUGAAUUUUCAAGAGUGGUCUUCAGUGUUUUGGCCACAGACCUAUUGUCAGGGGUCAUUUAUACAGGAAAGUCACAAUGUGAGUACAGUGUGUGUCUCAGACUACAAUCAACCUAUAAGCUUAUAGCUGCUUACCAAUAUUAUUCAUCAGGGGAACAAGUCAGUCAGAAAAGGUAUGUGGAAAAAGCCAAGGCAUUUUGUCGAACAAUAGUCCAGUUGUUCUGGUCAUUGAGUAUGGUAAUUGAUGCCUAUCAGGACUUCCUGGAGGAGGUGGUGGUAACUGUAGUACAUUUCAAAGGUGCUGUUUUUCUCUUCAGCAGCAUGUAGACCUGGUCACUGCAUCUUCACCUUCAGUUCUGGUUUUCUUCAGCUGUGCCUGUAGCAGUGAUUGUGGGAGUUAGUUUUUUACAUUGACUCUUUGAGGUUCCAGUUUCUCUCUGAUUGUAUAUCAAUUUCUGUCUACAUUGACAUCCUUUGCUAAAAUCACAAUACUAUUUGAAUGAAUAAAGUGAUGUUUAUACAUUUAAAAAUAUUCAUUAAUACAGGCCAGGGAUUUAGCUCAGCAGGCAGAAACCCCUGCCUGGAAACUGCUAGGUUGUAACUUUGAUCCCUGGUACCUAUAAACAAAAGUAAUUUGAACUGCAAGGAAGGAAAAUAAUUUCAUUUGUGAAAAUGUAAAUUUACAAAAUUUAUAACUAAGUAUGUCAAUGGCAAAUUAAACAUUGUUUAUAGUCAUAUUUAGUAUCUAAAUUUGUUGGGGCUGGUGAUUGAGCACAAUGAUAUAAGGAGCUGCCUGGAGAGCACAAGGUCAUGAGUUCAAUCCCUCAUACAAAAAUAAUUCACAGUUGUCAAUGAUGCAGUGCUAUGAGUACAUUUUUUGAAACUGAUACUUUUUAACUAAUAGGCUCAAUGUUUCUUUUGUGGUCUAUGACAUACUUGCAGAUAACAUGGCAAUUACAGUGAAUGAUGUACUGUCCCCUAUAGGUUGCUAUAUUCUGAGUUGUUUUUAUUUUUUGUUUUCCCACAUACUUGAAAAUUGAAAAUGUUGGCUGAUGCUAGCUAGAAAAACUGUGAUAAUCAUUUUUUUCAAUUUAAUGAUAUAUUUUCUUAUAUCCAUUAAGAAUAUUUUAUUUGCUACAAUUACUCCAAGUCAAAUUGAUAAACAAUUCUUAAAGUUACAGUCAGCUGAGUUAGUUAGAAAUACAGGCAGUCAUAUUGUGAUAUAGUGGGAUGAAAUUCCUGACCUUCUAUAUCUGGUAUGAGUUUGUGUUCUCUAAAAUGCAAGAAUGAAUUUUAGGAACAACAGAUUUGAAGAGCAGAAUAUAUUUAUUGAGAGAAAGAAAGUGAAAGUUUUGGGCUCUAAAUAAGAUAUUUUGGAAGUGGGAGGAGGAAGCAGGGCACUUUUACCUUGAAGUUACUUUCUUCUCCACUAUUCAACCUACCUGUGGCCAGAAAAGAAUCUCGAUCAGCUACUUGCAUAUCAGCAAUGCCACAUUUAAGCACCAUCCAAGUCAAUCACUAUAUGUAUGCCACCCACACAUUUCCAGACGAAAAAGCCAGACCCCCAGUGGUCAUGGGAUUCUCCCCAUAUUCUUAGAAUAAAGGCCAUUUUGAUUUUAUAUUGUCUUCUUUACUACACCAAAAAUCCUAUCAGAAAGCUUCUGUCUGAGAGAAACAGGAAGGAUUCUGAGCCCGUAGCAAAGGACUCUGGCUUUUCUAGGGACUUUAUAGAAUAAAAUCAUGUUGUGAGAUAGGUUUAAAGUGGGUUAGAUUACUGAGGUAACUGAGGAGGUAAAUUAGCACAAUAGAGAAGCAGAAUAUAAGAAAUGUUAAAGUGGCCUUUUAUUUAAAUAAUGUGGUGAGGAGCCCACAGCCACCAAGGGUGUGGCUGUUUUUUUUCCCCCCCGACUGACUAUUGGGAUAUGGGGUAUAUGUGACUUUUGAAUGGAUGUUGUGCUUGGAGGGGACAUUGAUGUCAUGCCAAGAGCUGAUGGGAGUUUUCUCUAGGCCUCUGGGAAAGAAAGAGGAAGUGGUAAUCAAGGAGAAAAGAGGAAGUGGCCAUAUGAGUAAGCAUCCCUGCCAAAAUUACAGAUCAGUUCACUUUCAGAAAAAGAAGCAGCAUUUAAAGGCAGGGAUAAACCCUUCAAUGCAAGUAUCCCUGGCAAGGAGGACUUGGGGAUAUCCAGGAAGCUGAAAAAGAAUGCAAAAUUUACUGUAGAUACUUAAGGUAAUCCACACUCACAAGGAGAAGGAAUGUUCCUGAGUAAUUAGUGAGUCAGCAGAAAAAUGACCACUAUUCAAUUAAAUGUCAGUAAUAUUCUCCGAAGAUGUAUAAACUAGAAAUGUCAAGCUAAGGAAAUCCUAUGGACAUACAUCUUGGAAUCAAUGUAAAGAAGUAUUCCUUUGUACUGAAGGAGGUAAUGUGAAUGUGAAAGAAACAGAAACACACCACAAUGUUCAGAUCCAUGAAAAAUAUUGCAGUGGAGGGAAGCCCUAUGUAUGCGAGCAAUGCGGGAAAGGUUUUACCACACAUGGAAUUUGUAAGAAACAUGAAAGAAUUCACAGAGGAGAAAGACCCUACAUAUGUAAGGAGUGUGGGAAAGCUUGUACAACACAUACAUAUUGUCAAGUACAUAAAAGUCUUCACUCCGGAGAAAAAUGUUAUAAAUGUAAGCACUGUGUGAAAGCUUUCAGCACACGUGCUUAUUGUGCAAUACAUGAAAAACUUCGCACUGGGUAGAAACUGUAUAUAUGUAAGAAAUGUGGGAAAGAUUUUAGCAGUAACAUUCAUUGUCAAAUAUAUGGAAAUGUUCACACUGGAGAGAAACCCUAUUUAUGUAACAAUGUGGGAAAGCUUUUUACAAACAUGCAUAUUGUAAGUUUCAUGAAAGAAUUCACACUGGAGAGAGACCAUAUGUAUGUAAGCAAUGUGGGAAAGGUUUUAACACACGUGCACAUUGUAAGGUUCAUGAAAGAAUUCACACUGGAGAGAAACCCUAUGUAUAUAAGCAAUGUGGAAAAGGUUUUACCAAUUCUGGAAAUUGUAAGCAACAUGAACAAAUUCACACUGGAGAGAAACCAUCUGUAUAAUUAAUGUGGGAAAGAUUUACCCUACAUGGACAUUGUAAGCAACAUGAAUGUUCACACUCAAGAUAAAACCAGUAUAUAUAAGCAUCAUGAGAAUGGUUUGAGCACACAUACAUAUUGCAUAAUGCAUGAAAAACUUCACACUGGGCAGAAAACUUAUAUAUGUAAGGAAUGUGGGAAAGGUUUCAGCAGAAAUGCUCAUUGUCCAAUACAUUAUACAAUUUACACUCUUGAGAAACCCUGUGUAUGUGAAGAAUGUGGGAAAGCUUUCACCACACAUGGAUACUGUAAAAUACAUCAAUGACUUCACACUGGUGAGAAACCCUGUUUAUAUAACAAUGUGGCAAAGCUUUUACCGCAUACAGUCAUUGCAAAACACAUGAAGGAAUUCACACUGGGAAGAAGCACUAGCUAUGUAAGCAAAUGGAGACACUUCAGCAGCCAGAUUUUAAGUGAAAUACGUGAAGAAACUUACACAAGAGAUAAAUCAUAUGUGUUAUGGGAAUACUCUCAGCACACAUGAUCAUUGUUACAUAUCUGAAAGAGCUCACUGGGCAAGGAUCCUGUGUGGAUUAUCAAUGUGAGAAAUACAGCAAUGCAAGUUUGUUGUUAAAUACAUAGAAAAAGUGUCACUAUUCAGACAGUUUAGAUCUAAGUUUAUUUUAAAAACCCCGAGGAGACCUGAAGAAAUAAUCAAUACAGAAGUUUGAUGUCAAUAUUUGUUCAUAAAUUUUCCAGAAACAACAAAUCUGAGGUGGAGCUCUACUCAAUCACUUGUACCUCUCUAGAUUUUUUAAAGUGUCUUUGUGCUUCAACAUGGCAUCUUGUAAUUAAACAUGAUAAACUGAAACGAGCUUUUCACUUUCAAGUAUGUAUAGUGUCUAUGUACUUAAUAUUUUGUCUUUAAAUCUUAAUUUUUAUAUUUUGGUGAAUUAUGAUGUUUAUUUAAAGAAAAAACAAAAAGUGUAGAAAUAAUACAGAGUUUCAGAAAAAUAAACAAUAAGAAAUCACUAGUUGAUUAGUUACAUAUUGUCAUCUUAGAAGUAGUUGUUCAAGUUACAGAAUUAAAGCCUACAAAGUUAUAUUCAAAUAAUGACACUGCGAACAGUUCACCUCAAUGAUCCAACAAAAACUUAUUAAUAUGCUUAUCUGUCCUACACACUUGUUUUUUUCUUAAAGAGGGUAAGAUUAAACAUGACGAAACAGAAGACAACAGUUCAUAAAGAAACAAGGUAAGGAAACAGAUUUCAAAACAAGUCCACUGGAGAUGUUCACUGUCUAUCUUACUGUCUAGUUUUCUUCCAAAUAGUUGUUCCCAUUUUCACACACAUUGAAUAUAUACUGAACAUUAUAGAACUAAUCAAAUAAUUACAGGAUGAUGCAAGAUUUUUUCGGUCUUUAAGACUGAUUUUGGGGACGUCAAUAAUGACUACCAUAAUGUCUGUCAUUCUCUUUGUAGUAGAUGUCUUUAUCUUUAUGUAUGCUGAAACUGAACAUAAGAGACUAGACUAAUGUCACUCUGAACAGUGCAUAGUAGUAUUCAGAGAAGGAGAAGCAUGAGGAAUUGCCUAAAAGAAAAGGCAGAGGACACUGUUAAAAGUGUAUCAGGAUUUAAAAGCUACAGUAGUCUUAUUGCUCUGUUUAGUUUGAUUAUAUUUUGUUCUGGUCUGUUACUCAUAUUAGAUUUGAGGGCACAGAGAGAUAACCCAAAAAUAGCAGGUUAUACCAUGGUAACUAUCCUUAAUUUCCAAUUAACUUAAACUGAAAGCCUGUAUUACUUACAUUAUCUUCUAUGACUGAUCUUAUUUGAAACUGGUUUGUUUGAAUGCUAUUUGGCCUUGACUGUUUUUAUUCACAUUUGGUAUGCUUGCUGGUAUCAAGUCCAAGAGUAGAGGCAACUACUGUGAAGAUGACAAGAUGUAAAAGAUAUCUAUUGGGGGGCUGGGGAUUUAGCUCAGUGGUUUAAGCACCUACCUGGCAAGUGUGAGGUCGUGAGUUUGAUCCCCAGUACCAAAAAAAUAAAUAAAAGAUAUCCAUUCCAGGUUUGAUUAUUAACUGCUUUCACGUCCUACAAUGUCUUCAAAGUUGUAUUUUUAUACAAAUAGCUAUGUAAUGUUUUGCUGAACUAUAUAAUGCCUGAUGAUGUGGACAAUUCUAUUGAAAAGAAUAAGAGAAAGCAUAGUAAUACUGUACAUCACCUCAUAUUGUGGUCUUAUAUAUCUUUUACAUAUCAUGAUUUUCUAGGAAUUGGUUUUGUUGUCUUGUUUUGAUCUGUUUUUCCCCAUAAUACAGAAAAGAUAGAUAUACACAUAGAGAUUCACACAUGGGAGUAAUUUCUAACCUAUUUAUGGGAACAAAUAAUAUAAUACACAAUGUAAUGAACAGAUACUCUGAAGAAGAAGAGACACUAAGAAACCCAAUGCUAAUUCUGUAGCAUUAUGAUAUAAAAUCGUGUAAUACUAUUAUUCACUGUUCAGAGUGAUAUUAGUCUAGUCUCCUAUUUUUUGGUGAAUUAUAAUUUUAGCACAGAUUUUGCUUUAAUCUUUUGAUGCACAUGCUUCAUUUUCUCUUUCAUAAAUGAUGUUUCUGAAGUUGAUGCAAUCUUUGGCAUUAAGAUAUACAUUUAUAGAGGCUUGGAGCAUAUGUUUUUGACAAAGUUGUGUUCUUUUCACAUAAGUUGUACAUUAAUGUAUGUUAUGUUUUCCAUGUUGUGAUGAGACAAGAUACCUGCUGAUUUCCUAACAUCACUGGAUAUCAUACCAUGCACAUUAUGUUGCCUGAUUUUCUUUCUCAGUGGAGCCAAUAUUUGUCAUUUAAGUAAACCUUUGUUUUUCUAACCAUCAGAAUUUUACCUGUUAUGUUUAUAUUACAUCUUUUCUUUGCUAGUAAUGUUUCCCCACAUGUACCAAAAGUGAACCAUACUACUGUGAAUUUCUGAUUGCCACAUACUGAUAGAACCAUAACUUGUCUCCAAUAACAUAUCACAAAAUGUAUUAAUGUCUCCAGAAUUUAUAAAAUUUGGCUGAUUUAUGAGUAACCAUACUUUGAAAUCAUUUUUUCUUACAUGUGGAGUUGUUUUGGGGGAAAAGGUUGUUAUUGGAUAUAUCAUGAAAAUGCCUUUAUUUUAUUCCUUGAUGCUGUGAAUGCAUUAUACAUUUUGUCAUUAUUACUGCUUUUUACUAAAACACUGAAGUAAUGGCAUAAAGGGAAACCUAAAUUUUGAGCUGUCAACACAGUAAAAAGUAUAUUUGCAAAUUAAGAUUCAGAUUGUGUUCUGUUUUACUAAAUUGUGAAUUUAUACAAUGGCAUAUUUUUUUAUUUAUAAGGACUAGUGCCCGAUGUUUGUGGUGUGUGCCGAUUAUCUUUAAACACAUAUCUUUAAACACUGGGCCAUAAGACCCAGUUGGUUUCCUGUGGCCUGUGGUUUUCACUUCCAUUUUAACAUUCAUGUAAUUUGUAAAGUGAUACUGCAGUGUUGUUGAAUAAAAAAUCUGCUUAGGUUCCAAUAGAAUUCUGUUGUUAAAAACUGAGGUUUCAUGCAAACACAAGUGAACAUUGCAUUAAAUACCCCUAAUCCAGUGAAGAUGGCUUGCCCAAGUCUCAGUUAUCAUUGAGAAAAUAAAUUGCCUGUUGUGCAAUCACCACUAAAAUUAUAUCUAUUUUGUACCUGAAGAACCUGAUGUACUUCACAAAGUAAAAGAUACUGUGAAGUACAUUGUCAGCCUCUAUGCGCUAUAGCAUGUGGCUGGAUUCCCUGCAGCACAUUUCUGUUUACCAUCAAUGGGAAAAUUUGGAGUUUGUAUUACAGCUAAUAAUAGUAUACUGAAUCUAUAAGACAUAUAUCCUGAGUACAUGCACUUUCUCAUUUUAUCAUGAAAGUAAGUCUUACUGGUCCUGUUGAUGCAUGCUUGUAAUCCUAGCACUGCAGUUGGCUUAAAUUAGUGGAAGAGGAAGUUGAGUCCAACGUACAAAUUAGUGUGAACUUAUCUCAACAUAUAUCUUCAAGUUCUGCAGAUGUAGCUUAAUGCUUUAGAUCUCCUCUCUUUCUGUGAGUAUUUUUUAAUGCUCACAAUUACACAUCAUUAGUUGUCCUUUUAUCACUUGGCCACCUAGCAGUUAUCCCUGAGAAUCACUUGGGAAGCACAUUUGUUUAUGCAGUUUAUCCUGAGCAUCAUUGGGGUCAGUUGUCAAUGUAACCCAUUCAUUCUUGAAUACAGUAUGAAUACAUUCAUUCUAUUGG